AUGGCCAGCGCCUCCUUGCUCCCGGCCAUGGCGCUGCUGCUCCUGGCAAUGGCGGUGGCCUCCUCCGACGCGCAGCCCUCCCCCGGCUACUACCCGAGCUCGAGGUUCAGGCCGGUGGUGUUCAACCGCGCGUACAGCAACAAGUGGGGCCCGCAGCACCAGACGCUCUCCGGCGACCAUUCGGCCAUCACCAUCUGGCUCGACAAGACCUGCGGUAGCGGGUUCAAGUCGAAGCAUGCGUACAGGAACGGCUACUUCGCCACCCGCAUCAAGCUCCCCGCCGGCUACACCGCCGGCACCAACACCGCCUUCUACCUGUCCAACAACGAGGCGCACCCCGGGUUCCACGACGAGAUCGACAUGGAGUUCCUGGGCACCAUCCCCGGCGAGCCCUACACGCUGCAGACCAACGUGUACGUCCGCGGCAGCGGUGACGGGCGGAUCAUCGGGCGGGAGAUGCGGUUCCACCUCUGGUUCGACCCCACCGCCGGCUUCCACACCUACGCCAUCCUCUGGAACCCGGACGCCAUCACCUUCUUCGUGGACGACGUGCCCGUCCGGCGGUACGAGCGCAAGACGGAGCUCACCUUCCCGGACCGCCCCAUGUGGGCGUACGGCUCCAUCUGGGACGCCUCCGACUGGGCCACCGACGACGGCCGGCACCGGGCCGACUACAGCUACCAGCCGUUCGUGGCGCGCUUCGACCGCUUCGUGGUCGCUGGGUGCGGGGCCGGCGCCCCGCCCUCGUGCCGCCCGGCCCGGGCGUCCCCCGCCGGCACGGGGCUCACGCGGCAGCAGUACGCGGCGAUGCGGUGGGCGCAGCAGCGCCACAUGGUCUACUACUACUGCCAGGACUUCCGGAGGGACCGCUCGCUCACGCCGGAGUGCUGA
rnacentral:rRNA from 1 species